UGGGAUUGGCACCAGCGACUCCAGCGACCCUCAUGUGGAGAAUAAAGCAGUGGAAGAUGACAUGAGUUUGGACACAGAUAUACCUAAGUGUAUGACGGCUGCUGCUGCUCCAUCUGCAUGUGAUGAGUAAAGCCAUGAAAUAGAUCCAGCUGGAGAUGAGCAGAGGAGACCGACACCUCCUGGGAAAUCAUCCACACCUCCAGCCGCACACUGUCCACUUCUUUAGCACCCAAGAGAACUAUCAAUAAGCAAAUGUCUUCACACCUGACAGCCGUCUUUAAACAACUGGAUCAUAGGACGAGAGCAACAGUCUCUGCAGGAGACCAGGAGUGGACUGUCUUCGUGUCUGCUGGUGCAGCCCAUGUGAAUCCAAAAAGGACAAUUAGGGGCUUAUUAGGGUCUCGGGGAGAUGAACCUCAGGGCGUCCACUCGCCUGCUCGGCCCCAGUUCUGAGUCGCUGCCAUGGCUCAAAACAGUCAGAGGCAUUGUCUCACCUAAUUAUGCUGAAACCAGGGGCCCCUUUUUGUGUAGCCACUGCCAUGCCUGUCCGAUUCCCUUCUCCUGCCCUGACUGCGAGUCCCUGUCCACUCUGGAAGUUUGCUAAUUAGACAAGAAAUGGGCUCAAGUAAUUAUGUCAAUUCUUGUUACAAGUAGCCACACGGAAGAAUAUUAUUUUGUCAAGAAAGUUUUAGUGCUGUGCAGUGGGAGGAGGGAGGGGGGACUCUCCGUCUCUCUCUCUUUCUCUCCCACAUUUCCCAAAGUCUUUUCCCUCUCAUUACGCCAAAUAAACACAUCUGCACAUGCAACAGGGGGAAAUGUGACGCACACAAGUCAGAGUCCCCGGCAAACUUCAGAGCAUAAAUAGAUGCACUCAUACAGAAAUGGAGACUAUAGAACGGCAAUAGCAUGAAGUUAUUGCCCUAAUUAAUGCAUUGUGCCCCCAGAGCAAACUGUUGUGGCACAUUGUUGGGACCGUGAGAGCCUUUUGUUUCUAUACCCUUAAUAGGAUGUUUUGAUCAACGGCUGUUUGGUGACCCAGCUCCUCUUCUAAAAAAACCCUGAGCCCUGGGAAACGCAAUUAGCUGGAUUAGCGGAGCCAUUUCUGCAGCCGCAAACAAAGGCGGAGAGAUAGAUCAGACAUGCAGCGUCACAUGAAAGUGCUUCAGACAUUCUGCAUAAAUAUGACUGACCCACAAUAUGUUAUCUAUUAUUUUAUACUGGACACUGUUGAGUGUGUUUGAGGGUUUGUGGACAGUUUAAUUUUUGAUUCCACCACAUAAAUUAACUUAACUUAUUGUGUUUUUUUCUGUGUUCAUUGAUUGAUGACAUGUGACAGGACUUUUUAGUCAUGUAGGUGUUUUAUGAACAGAUACUUGUUACAUUCACCCGUCUUGUAUGAAGUAGGUAAAAGGGAUACUUGAGUAAAAGUAUGUUACAAGAAAGUUA